GACCGCGUAGCUCAGUUAGCAGAGCAUUGGGCUAGUAUUCCAAAGGUCGUAGGUUCGAUUCCCACCGUGGCCC
rnacentral:tRNA from 1 species